rnacentral:rRNA from 1 species
UCAAAGGAAUUGACGGGGGCCCGCACAAGCGGUGGAGCAUGUGGUUCAAUUCGAAGCAACGCGAAGAACCUUACCAGCCCUUGACAUCCCGGUCGCGGGAGCGAGAGAUCGAUCCCUUCAGUUCGGCUGGACCGGAGACAGGUGCUGCAUGGCUGUCGUCAGCUCGUGUCGUGAGAUGUUGGGUUAAGUCCCGCAACGAGCGCAACCCUCGCCCUUAGUUGCCAUCAUUCAGUUGGGCCCUCUAAGGGGACUGCCGGUGAUAAGCCGCGAGGAAGGUGGGGAUGACGUCAAGUCCUCAUGGCCCUUACGGGCUGGGCUACACACGUGCUACAAUGGCGGUGACAAUGGGAUGCAAUGGGGCAACCCUGCGCAAAUCUCAAAAAGCCGUCUCAGUUCGGAUUGCACUCUGCAACUCGAGUGCAUGAAGUUGGAAUCGCUAGUAAUCGCAGAUCAGCACGCUGCGGUGAAUACGUUCCCGGGCCUUGUACUCACCGCCCGUC